rnacentral:snoRNA from 1 species
AGGCAAUGAUGAACGAGAAUGUCAUGCACCACUCUGAUCUUAGUGCUGAUAAUUAUCUCUAACCCAUAUUAUUCUGAGCCU